CCUACGGGAUGCACCAGUGGGGAAUAUUGGACAAUGGGCGAAAGCCUGAUCCAGCAAUGCCGCGUGUGUGAAGAAGGUCUUCGGAUUGUAAAGCACUUUCGACGGGGACGAUGAUGGCGGUACCCGUAGAAGAAGCCCCGGCUAACCUCGUGCCAGCAGCCGCGGUAAUACGAAGGGGGCUAGCGUUGCUCGGAAUGACUGGGCGUAAAGGGCGCGUAGGCGGUUUAUGCAGUCAGAUGUGAAAUCCCCGGGCUUAACCUGGGAACUGCAUUUGAGACGCAUAGACUAGAGGUCGAGAGAGGGUUGUGGAAUUCCCAGUGUAGAGGUGAAAUUCGUAGAUAGUGGGGAGAACACCGG
rnacentral:rRNA from 1 species